rnacentral:lncRNA from 10 species
GAAUAUCUAAUUUAAUUUCCCAGCAGCAAUUGGGACAGAACCUCACGAUCAAACAAGCAAACUGAUAUAUUUUUCUGUGAAAAUGUAUGAGUAUUUACAUCAAAUGGGACAAAUAAAAACUAGAAGUAACCUCAAGUCAGUUCAGAAGACUUUUUGCUGCUGAAUAAUUCAGGUCAAAUCCAGGUCUACUGUUAAAUAAGUUAGAAGAACUUGUGGUUUUCAGAGCUUUUUGGAGUUUGGAAUUGUAGGUAAGGACCCGGGGACCUUUAGGAGUCAGUAGAUCCAAGUGUGUGCUUUAGAGCUGGCAUUGUUCCAUCUAGGUCCACCACUUCUUGGCUAGAUUCUUGGGCAAACUGUUUACAUUCUUUGUCUUCUGUUUUCUCAUCUUAUUUCAUGAAGCAAACAGCUUGUGAGACAGGUGUUAUAUUUUGGUUACCUGAAAGAUGAGGAAACAGAGAGCGGGGCAGGUUAAGAACUGGCCCAGUCCAGGUGGCUCAUGCCUAUAAUCCCAGCCCCUUGGGAGGCCGAGGAGGGAGAAUUGCUUGAGCCGAGGAGUUCAAGACCAGCCUGGGCAACAUAGAGAGAACCCGUUUCUACUAAAAAAAAUUAGCCAGGUGUGGUGGCAUAUGGCUAUAUUCCCAGCUAUUUGGGAAGCUGAGGUGGGAGAGUCACUUGAGCCUGGAAGGUCAAGGUUGCAGUGAACCAUGAUUGCACCACUGCGCUCCAGCCCGGGUGGGAGAGUGAGACCCUGCCUCAAAAUAAAUUUUUUAAACAAAGGUAGGAAACAGUGGCUCGUGCCUGUAAAUCCCAGCACUUUGGGAUGCUGAGGCCAGGAGUUUGAGACCACCCUGGACAACAUGGUGAAAUCCCAUCUCUACGAAAAAUAUAAAACUUAGUAGGGUGCAGUGGCCCAUGCCUGUAAUCCCAGCUACUCAGGUGGCUGAGGCACAAGAAUCUCUUGAACCCAGGAGGCAGAGAUUUCAGUGGGCUGAGAUCCCACCACUGCACUCCAGCCUGGGUGACAGAGUGAGAUUCUGUCUCAAAAAAAAUAAAAAUGAAAGUAUAAAUAAAAAGAACUGACCCAAAGUUACACAAUGGGGCAAGAACAGGGCAAGGAUUUGAAACUGCACCUGCAGCAUCCUGUCCACUACACAGGCCCACCUAAAUUCUUAUAUCCCAUUCAAUAUUCUUUUAUCAGUGCUUACUCUGCUUUCCCUCUUCCAGCACAGAAAUUUUGAGGAAAGACAUGAAAAGCCCAGGAAAAAUGGAAAGCGUUUAGAUGCACAUUUUAUUAGCAGGUUCACUCUCUCCUCUCUCCUUCUUUCUUUCUCUUUUUGUUAAAAAGCAAGAGGCAAAAGAAUUUGGCACCAUUUCCAUCAUGUUGAUUCUUCUGGGUUUCUCAAAUGUUGUGAUCCCUGGAAAGCCGGGAUUCAUGCUUACCUCCACUCUUCAUUAAGGCGGCCGUGGCUGUGAGCUGGGGAAGACAGGCUGCUGGUGCGGUGGGUGGGCGUGCUGAAUAACACCCGAACCACAGCUGUGGCUGCCCUUGUCAGAGUGCCAGCCUGCCUAACCCAGUCUGUUCUUGCCUGCUACCUGGCCCUCGCCCAUCUGCUGCAGAAUUCAUAAAGUGCUGAAGAUCACAAACAUCUGAACCUAUUAUAGGUAACAUACUUCAAUUACAUUCUGAUUGUGGGCUUGGCUUCCCCCAAGCCUGGUUUGUAAUGGUGCACAGAUCAAAUUCUCCCCACAAAAGAAGCACUCAUCUCUAGGUAAUCUCAUCAUGUUGGGUGUGCUUAAGAAAGAAGCCAUUCUCCUAGAUGCUGCUUUGUGUUAUUCAGUUACCUGGCAAAGGUUCCCCCAGAUGUAAAUGACAGAGAGAAAGAGAGAGAGAUGUAAAGGACAGGGAGAGAGAGAACUGACUUAAAAUCUUUUCCCAUGAACUUACCAUGUUUGUGUAUGGAUCUGUAGUUUGCUUUCUCCACUAUGGAGCAAGUGAUUUGUUAGUUGAAAUGACCUUAGCUCUCCUGAGGCUUAUCUAUCUUGGUUGUUGGCUUAUAUCACGCAAAUUAUGACCACUCUUCCAAGGACAUCAAAGAAUAAACUGCCCAUAUGUCCCUCAGACUGUGCUCACAUGUCUCUUGCCUUGCCCCUCCCAAGGAGCUCUGGGCAGCACUUACCAGGCAUAGUACCCUGAGCUGGAGCAGCACUCAGGUUGACCCAGUUAGAAGCCUGACAAGGAGGACAUCUCAGCCUCUGUUCAAGGCUGCUUCCACUUUCGUUUUCUACUGAACUUGCAAACAAGCAGUUAAAAGAAACACACAAAUGCCCAGCUGAGCCAUAUUAGAGCAUAAGGCAAAAGGAAAAAUCAGAAAUAUCAGUACUGAUUUUAUUUAAAAUGUUAGUAUUUUAUACACACUGAAUUUUUGCAUUAAUUUUGAUUUUUCAACAUAUUGCAUCAGAACCUGAUUUAUCUUGAUUAUGGAGUUUUUUUGGUGUUCUCUUAAAUUUUGUUCCAAGUCCCAGCCCCAAUAUGCACCCAUUGAGGAGUAAGACGCUGGAGUAUUUAUGCAUCAACUCCUGCCCUCAUUGGUUGGUUGUUGCUCAGGGAGCAUUAGUUAACUCCACAGCACUUCUAGCUUGCCCGCUGUGCAGGUUAGACAGGCACCAUCAGCGUCAGCCACAAUGUCUGUCUUGGACUAAUCAUCUUGGCCAGAGAGAAGUAGCGUGUGAUUGGUAGUCCUUUCCAGAAAUGAUGUGGCUUGAAGGAGCAUUUCCCGAAAGAAGGCUUUGUAUUCUGAGCAGCCCUGUGUCUCCUGAAUGCUCUACAUAGCCCUUUCUUAGAUAUUACAAGUCAAUGCAUUCCUUUUUUUUCCCCCUCAAGAUAGUUUGAGUUGUGUUUAUGUCACUUGAAACCAAAGAGUCCUGACUCUUGCAGGCAGACAGCUGAGAGUAGUGUCGAGCCUCAUUAGGGUAGGGCAACAUAGGUGUUGGGGGAUGUAUUAGUCAGCAUUCUCUAGAGGGACAGAACUAAUAGUAUAUAAUUUAUUAGGAGAAUUGACUCACACGAUUACAAGGUAAAGUCCCACAAGAGGCCAUCUGAAAGCUGAGGAGCCAGGAUGCCAGUCAGAGUCCCAAAACAUCAAAAGUAGGGAAGUCUAUGGCUGAAGGCCCAAGAGCCCCUGGCAAAUCACUAGUGUAAGUCCAAGAGUCCAAAAGUGGAAGAACCUGGAGUCUGAUAUUCGAGGGAAGGAAGCAUCCAGCACAGGAGAAAGAUGGAGGCCAGAAGACCUAGCCAGUUUAGCCUUUCCACGUUCUCCUGCCUGCUUUUAUUCUGGCUGUGUUGGCAGCUGAUUAGAUGGUGCCCACCCGGACUGAGGGUGGAUCUGUCUUUCCCAGUCAACUGACUCAAAUGUUAAUCUCCUUUGGCAACUCCCUCACAGACACACCCAGGAACAAUACUUUGCAUCCUUCAUUCCAAUCAAGUUGGCACUCAAUAUUAACCAUCACAGGGGACCAGUGGAGUAUUCCUGCAUUUGGGGCAUCAUGGGGCUUUACUUCUCUAGCAUGUCAAGGUAGGCUGGAAGAGAAUUUGGAGAUCCUGGGUGGCUCACUCUAAUUGGGACUAACAAUAGCAGCAAACGUUUAUGGCACAGUAUGGUUCUAAAUCAUGUUCACCCUCCUAUUUCUUUCCCCACCAAGGCUUAGAGGUACAGGCAAGGCAAGUUAUACAAUCCCAACUUCACGGAUGAGGAAACUAAGGCUUCAACAAUGACCCACCUAUAGCUAAGUGGUAGCAGAGGAUCUUGUCUUUUAAGUCACCAAACUCAAGCAAUGAGACAGAACAAUGGGGCUCAUUUUGAAGCAGAUUAUCUUCCUGUUAUUCUGUUGAUGUAAACUUUAGUUCCUUGGUUCUAUUCCACGAAUUCUGUAUGAAGUCACAAGUAAUUGUCAGUGCUUUUCAGAAACAGGGACCUUGUCUUUGUCACCUAAUCUGCAGCUCCCACACAAUUCCUGGCAGGGAUAGGUGCUCGGGCAAUGUUUGUUGAAUUGGAUUAAUACUGAGGAAGGAGAAGCUCAGAAAAUUUCUGGCACUAGGCUACGCUGGACAUUUAGAGGAAAGAUGAAAUGCUAAGAAUAGGUCUGCCAUCCACUUAAUGAAUGUACUGUGCCAAAUGCUGGAUGUACACCUCACCUGUAUAGCAACUGCAUAAAGUAAACAUCGUUCAUCCUGUUAUACAGAUAAGAAAAGAGAAGUUCAGAAAGAUAAGGAUCUUACUCAGUGACAGGACUGGGACUGAAACCCAAGUAUGCCUGACUCCCAAAUCUGUGUUCCUGAAUCAAGUGUGCUCUGUCAUUUGGAAGCUAUACUAAGUCAUCUUGCAAUUCCAUAUAACAAGCUUGAUAGAAUGAAUAGCCUGGUCUUAUUUAAGGAGUUCCUUUUCCUCUCCUAUCCUCUAGGAGGACUCCAGAGUUCUUUGUACUUUUGCAAAUGACGGGUGGAGAAGCACCAGAGGUUCUGGAGUUAGAGUAGGUUGGAGGCAUUUAGGGAGAGUUUGGAGAAGGAAGCCUAGGACAGUAUGGAAUAUGAGGUGACCAGGAGAAGGAAAAGGGGAUACAAGAGUGUUACUGGGGGCUUACGAAUUAGAUUCCUAUUAAAUCAGUAAAUAUGCAAUUAUUUUUUGCUUAUUUGGAAGGUGCAUAUUUGAAUGCCAGACUGCUGGGAACUAAAGGAUGUGGGUCAAUGGAGUGUCAUAGGAAGGUCAGUUGAGCUGCCCUGGAGGGAUCCAGGUAGAGGCUGGGCAGCACCCCAGUGAACGUAGGUAGGGGAUCCAGGCAUUGACUGGAGGAGAGUUGGACCACAAAACAUUUCCAAUUUUGUGUAUCUCCAAAUCUCCCACUCUGGCUAAGCAUGAAGGCAGCCUAGCCAUUUUGCUCAUUCCUGCCACAUGUAGUUCCCCUCCUGCCUUAUCAAAUGUUUAUCUGUCCCCACCUCCCAACCCAUCUUAAUUAUUUGCAAUGAUCCGUGAUAGACACAUAAACAACUCUGCAGCUUAAAAUUCCCCCAUCAGGCAAAUAUGAAAUUAUUCACAUUUUUCUUGCAGGUUUUUCAUGAAGCAAGUUGGUGAUGAAAUGACUCUCAAACGCCUUCCCCAUUUUACGCUGGGGAUUCUGCCUUUACCCUUUAAUGGGUGUGUGUCUUCAUGCCUCAGCUACACUGAGCGUUCUCCUUCCCUGUUUAUGUUUAUUUUGGAAGCAAAAUGUGUUUACAAAAUCAGUUAAAAAGUGUUAAUGAUCAGUUUCCAGAAUACUAAUGUGAAUUCAAAUUACUUUCACAUGAAUCAAGACAAAUUAAAAAAUGCCAUUUGAUCACAAACUGUUUUAAAUUUGUGUUCUAAGUGGCGCAGCAAAUCUGAAUAUACGCUUUUUAAAAAGAGCAGUUUAAAAUAACCAUUCUGAUGGCAUGAAGCAGUUUUGAAUAAGAAGUCUCCUUCCAAGAGGAAAGGUCAGCUUUUGGGCAUUCAUAUGGGAGAAGGUAUGGGGUGACAUGUGCCCCCCGCUUCCCAGAGAAAAAUAUUGUUUGUAAUUGUCAAAAUUAGGACUGAGCUAUAAAAUGUUCAUGAUUUUCAUCUGUCUUGUUCACUACUAUUUUUCCAGUGUCUGGACCAGAGCUUGGCACAUUACAGGCACUCUAUUUGCAGAAUAAAUGAAUGAAUAAAAUCAGCUAUAUAAAUUAUAAAAUUUAAUCCAAGAUUUUAUUUGCUCUGAGUUAGUAUAAAAAUUUUGAAGUUCAUAGCAAGACAGAGUAGAAAAAUGAGGGCCAUGGCAUGGAAAAGUCACCAAUUCCAAAUCCAUGUAAUAUUCCUCCUUCUUGUGCUCUCCUGGCCCAUGCUGGUGACCCAGUAAAGUUCCUUCUGCCAAUAGUAGCUUCUGACAGUCCGAGACACAAGGGACUAUGUUGGCUUAAAUGUGGCUUUUGCAGAAUCACAACUGCUGUCUACCUGAAUUUACCUGAAUACCUUUUUCAGUGGUUCCACCUCCUACCUAUAAUGGAGAUGGGGACUUGUGGGGUGACAUUGUGCCGCUUCCAGGCUUUUAGCAGGCAACUUCUCCUGGCUCGGAUGAUCUAGAGCAGUGAUUUUCCAGCAGUUCCUGGGGGUCUGGUGAGAAGAAGACAGGCCUGGAGUUGAAGGAGAGAAAAAAGGCUGGGCUGGCCUGUUGGAAGGAGACUUCCACCUCUGCAAGCAUCCCCAUCUUGUUUGGAUUGCAAAC